GAUGAACGCUAGCGAUAGGCUUAACACAUGCAAGUCGAGGGGUAACGUGUUGGAAGCUUGCUUCCGAUGACGACGACCGGCGGAUGGGUGCGUAACGCGUAUGCAACUUGCCUCACAGUGGAGAAUAACCCGGAGAAAUCCGGACUAAUACUCCAUACACUCUUAAGUACGCCUGUACAUGAGAGGAAAGAUUUAUCGCUGUGAGAUAGGCAUGCGUCCUAUUAGGUAGUUGGUGAGGUAACGGCUCACCAAGCCGACGAUAGGUAGGGGUGCUGAGAGGCAGAUCCCCCACAUUGGGAAUGAGACACGGCCCAAAAUCCUACGGGAGGCAGCAGUGAGGAAUAUUGGUCAAUGGAGGAAACUCUGAACCAGCCAAGUCGCGUGAAGGAAGAAUGUCCUAAGGAUUGUAAACUUCUUUAGCGAGCGAGUAAGGACUUCCACGUGAUGGGAGUUUGAAAGUAGCUCGAGAAUAAGUAUCGGCUAACUCCGUG
rnacentral:rRNA from 1 species